rnacentral:rRNA from 1 species
CAAUGGGCGCAAGCCUGAUGCAGCCAUGCCGCGUGUAUGAAGAAGGCCUUCGGGUUGUAAAGUACUUUCAGCGGGGAGGAAGGUGUUGUGGUUAAUAACCGCAGCAAUUGACGUUACCCGCAGAAAAAGCACCGGCUAACUCCGUGCCAG